GGGAAUGUGACUUAGUGGUAGAGUGCUAGCCUGGUAUGCAUGAAGCCCAGGGUUCGAUUCCCCGUACCA
rnacentral:tRNA from 1 species